UUAUCAUUGUGUGAGUGGGUUAGUUAUCACAAGAGUGUGUCUGUUAUAAAAAGCCAGGUUGGUUCUCUCUCAUGAGCCCCCUCACCAUGUGAUGUCCCAAGCUGCCUUGGGACUCUGCAGAGGGUCCCCAUAAGAGGAAGGCCCCGACUAGAUGGAAUCCUUUGUCCCUGGACUUCUCAGCCUCCAGAACUCUUUCCCAUUGAGUGUUUUCAAUGGGAAAUGUCUAACUGCUCUGUGGGUGUACACCACGGCCAGUUGCUAAUUUUGGAACACUUGUGAAUCCUGGGCCCAGAGUCAUGACCAAUACUGGAUUCCCCAGGAUCAACCAUCUGAGCAGAUACCUUGGAAUGUCCCCAGAUUUCAGAGCCUCGGACCAGCAGCAACACACUCUGAAGUAGGUCUCAGAAGACAAAAAGCUGAAAUCAACUCAUGCUUCCUGCUACACAGAAUCCACUGAGAGGAAAAGGAAACUUCACCGAAACUUCAGAAAGCUACAGAAAUGACAUCCAUUUUCACAAUCCCAGAAGGAAAGAUGCAUCUGAAGGGAAUAAAAACAGAGCAAUGGAAGAGUAUUUGUUAAAAUAAAUGGCUUUGACAGGGCAUUUUCUCUAAAGGUCUCCUUUGCCUCAAAUAGUACUCCUGCCUUCAGUCCAUCUUGCAUGCCACCCAGCUGUGG
rnacentral:lncRNA from 1 species